rnacentral:rRNA from 1 species
UACGUAGGGGGCUAGCGUUGUCCGGAAUCAUUGGGCGUAAAGCGCGUGUAGGCGGCCCGGUAAGUCCGCUGUGAAAGUCGGGGGCUCAACCUCGAAUGCCGGUGGAUACUGUCGGGCUAGAGUACGGAAGAGGCGAGUGGAAUUCCUGGUGUAGCGGUGAAAUGCGCAGAUAUCAGGAGGAACACCAAUUGCGAAGGCAGCUCGCUGGGACGUCACUGACGCUGAGACGCGAAAGCGUGGGGAGCAAACAGG